rnacentral:lncRNA from 1 species
GAAUUACAAAACAAUAUUUAUUUUAUAUGUAAGAUUACAUAUGUCAGGAGGUUCUAUUCAUAAACAGUGGAUCUAACACAUCAAGUGACAUCUAAAAAUCAUUAGUUAAUUAUAAGUUUAUUCUGAAAAAUUUAUUUUUAUUACUUUUAUUUCCACAAAGUCAUUGUUACUGAAGUCCAGAUUUUUACAUGAUAAAUAUUCUGUUGACAUUAAAGCCAAAUUAGAUAAACUCUUCUUGAAUCACUGUAGUCUUAAAGUAGAUUUUUUUUCCUAAUUUAAAUUUAGAAAACUUCAUUCUGCUAAAGUAGUAGUAACUAGAAUUGUCACUAAAAUCUUAAACCAAUUACUGUAAUUUGAAAAUAAAUGAACUUUACAUAUCAUAUCUAAAUCUUGCAAUGGUGUUGCAUACAACGAUGUAUCUGUCGCAGAAUAUCUUAAUUUUAUCAAAUAAAGCCCUACCAAUUAAAUUGUAAAUAUUUUCAUUCCUUAAUUCAUUUCUUAAGUUUUUCUGCAUUCAGAAUUUUCAUGUUUGUACAGAAAACUGAAAACAGCAGUGUGUUGCUACUUUAUUCCAAAUUUGGAAUGGGAAAGGUUUGCAUCCUGAAAGAGCACCUGGAGUGGAAGGGAGAGUCAGGUGAAACAGGUUCAGUGAGAGGCUGUGUGCUCAACAGGGUGGAGUCCUGCUUUGAAACCAGCCUGCUGCUCUGCACACAUUCUUCCAAGAUGGGCCCGGAGGUUCCUUCAAAGCAACACGGACUAUGGAUUUAGGGGUUCAAGACUCCUCCAGCUCUCCCUCUGCUUCUGCCGCUGCAGCAGGGAUUGGAGGCGUUGCUUGCAGUGGGCUCUCUCCCCAUUUCGCCUUCAUGUCUCCCUAUUCUGUUUUGCCUUUUGAUCCUCCUAAUCCUAGUCUCAUUAAUUUCUUCCAUUGUAUUCCUUCAGCGUCUUCCUUUUCCUCGGAUUUCCCACUUUCUUACUGAUUGGAUCCCAGUGAAGACCCCAAGAUUGCAGCCAUCUUGACUGCCCUGACUCAGCAUUCCUGGAUUCGCCAGUUCCCGCCAUCCCAGCGGCCAUCUUGGCUACCCUGACUUGGCAUUUUCACCUGUUCCCGCCAUUUAUUCCCGCCAUCUCGGCAGCCACCUCGGAUACCCUGACUCAGCAUUUCCGGGUCCACCUUUCUUGUUCCCGCCGCCUCAGUGAACACGCAUGCCCACUAAAGCACAUCACUAAGGCACAUCACUCAUCUAUAUAAGCGCGCUGCACCUUUGGCACAGCGCGACUUCCCUGACCCUCCCCCUGCAGACCACUGAACCUCGCCGGAGAGCUCAAUUAAGAAGAUUUUUGCCCUCUUUGUCUCGCCUCUCGGCCUUAUUGAUCCACGGUGCCCUUCCAUUGCCUUUCAUUGGUGCCAAAACCCGGGAAGGGACACCUCCUAAGCCCCCCAGAGGCUCGAGGGGACUCCCCUCCUGGUCAGAUCAGGCUUCUUCCCCACGGCUACCCAUCCGUUUCGUUCGGUUACUUGCCACCAGGUUGCAGCUGCUGCAGCCACUCCAGUCCAAUUCGGCUGACGCUGGAUGAGAUCGGCAGCUUGGGGCCAGGUGCAGUGGAUCACGCCUGUAAUCCCAGGACUUUGAGAGGCCGAGGCGGGCAGAUCACCUGAGAUCGGGAGUUCAAGACACAGCCUGAGCAACAUGAAGAAACCCCGUCUCUACUAAAAAUACAAAAUUAGGAGCUCUCCCUCUUCCUCUCCCUCUCCCUCUCCCCACGGUCUCCCUCUCCCUCUCUUUCCACGGUCUCCCUCUCAUGCUGAGCCGAAGCUGGACUGUACUGCUGCCAUCUUGGCUCACUGCAACCUCCCUGCCUGAUUCUCCUGACUCAGCCUGCCGAGUGCCUGCGAUUGCAGGCUCGCGCCGCCACGCCUGACUGGUUUUGGUGGAGACGGGGUUUCGCCGUGUUGGCCAGGCCGGUCUCCAGUCCCUAACCGCAGGUGAUCCGCCAGCCUCGGCCUCCCGAGGUGCCGGGAUUGCAGACGGAGUCUCGUUCACUCAGUGCUCAAUGGUGCCCAGGCUGGAGUGCAGUGGCGUGAUCUCGGCUCGCUACAACCUCCACCUCCCAGCUGCCUGCCUUGGCCUCCCAAAGUGCCAAGAUUGCAGCCUCUGCCCGGCUGCCACGCCGUCUGGGAAGUGAGGAGCGUCUCUGCCUGGCCGCCCAUCGUCUGGGAUGUGAGGAGCCCCUCUGCCUGGCUGCCCAGUCUGGAAAGUGAGGAGCGUCUCCGCCCGGCCGCCAUCCCACCUAGGAAGUGAGGAGCACCUCUUCCUGGCUGCCAUCACAUCUAGGAAGUGAGGAGCGUCUCUGCCCGGCCGCCCAUCGUCUGAGAUGUGGGGAGCGCCUCUGCCCCGCCACCCCGUCUGGGAUGUGAGGAGCACCUCUGCCCGGCCACCACCCCGUCUGGGAGGUGUGCCCAACAGCUCAUUGAGAACGGGCCAAGAUGACAAUGGAGGCUUUGUGGAUAGAAGGGCGGGAAAGGUGGGGAAAAGAUUGAGAAAUCGGAUGGUUGCCGUGUCUGUGUAGAAAGAAGUAGACAUGGGAGACUUUUCAUUAUGUUCUGUACUAAGAAAACUUCUUCUGCCGUGGGAUCCUGUUGAUCUGUGACCUUACCCCCAACCCUGUGCUCUCUGAAACAUGUGCUGUGUUCACUCAGGGUUAAAUGGAUUAAGGGCGGUGCAAGAUGUGCUUUGUUAAACAGAUGCUUGAAGGCAGCAUGCUCGUUAAGAGUCAUCACCACUCCCUAAUCUCAAGUACCCAGGGACACAAACACUGCGGAAGGCCGCGGGGUCCUCUGCCUAGGAAAACCAGAGACCUUUGUUCACUUGUUUAUCUGCUGACCUUCCCUCCACUAUUGUCCUAUGACCCUGCCAAAUCUCCCUCUGUGAGAAACACCCGAGAAUUAUCAAUAAAAAAUAAAUAAAUUAAAAAAAAAAAAAAAGUUCCGUUAUCUUCUUACUCUAGUAGAUACUUUCUCAGGUUGGAUUGAAGCCUAUCCCACCACUCAUGAAACAGCAGAGGUGGUAGCUUCAACCCUCAUUGAACACAUAAUCCCGAGAUUUGGCCUCCCUCGGACAAUCCAAUCUGAAAAUGGGCCUGCUUUUAUCUCCAAGAUAGUCAAACAGGUGACAACCACACUUGGCGUUAACUGGAAGCUACACACUCCAUACCAUCCACAGUCUUCUGGAAAAGUGGAACGCGCCAACGGCCUUGUCAAACAACACCUAAUCAAACUGGCUCUGGAGACACGCCAAUC